rnacentral:rRNA from 1 species
GACGAACCGAGCGAACGUUGCUCGGAAUCACUGGGCGUAAAGCGCACGUAGGCGGAUUGUUAAGUCAGGGGUGAAAUCCUGGAGCUCAACUCCAGAACUGCCUUUGAUACUGGCGAUCUUGAGUCCGGGAGAGGUGAGUGGAACUGCGAGUGUAGAGGUGAAAUUCGUAGAUAUUCGCAAGAACACCAGUGGCGAAGGCGGCUCACUGGCCCGGUACUGACGCUGAGGUGCGAAAGCGUGGGGAGCAAACAGG